GCAUUAAUGGGGUAGUGGUAACCUGGGUCGUUGCCAUACUUGUCGAGCAUAUAUCGACCCGCCGGGAGUUCGAUUCUCUCUUAAUGCA